AUAACCUUCAAAGCGCAGAUUACGCCUCAAUUCAUCGCUCUGUCGCCUCACAUAAUAUUACCGAUUAUCGUGUAUUACAAUAAUAGUUUUUAUUAUACAUUGUCAAUUUGUUCGCUGUUUCCUGCCAGCUUCGUAUAUAAGGCAUGUGUAAGGUGGUCUUAUCAGGUUGUUCCAACAUGAAGUUCUUUGGUGUCAUUUUGGUCAUCAUGGCUGUAGUUUUCGCUGUUGUGAGCGGCGUAAGACCCAUAGCCUCUGAGCGUGCGGGAUGCAACGGCGGCGGCCCACCCCCAGGAGGCCCGCCCGGGGGCCCACCACCCACCAACAGCACUGGUUAAUGCACCUCCUCUGACGGCCACAACUUUUGUAAACGGAUUUAGCGUGAUCAUGUUCAUUUUUCUGUCCACUAAUAAAUGAUAGCACAAAUCA